CUCUCCUGAGGACUUACUCUGUCUUGCCCAUCCUUGGAGAAGAAAAUUCUCCUUCUGGAGGAAAAAUCCCGAGCGGGAUGGUUUUGUCCUCGGUGAAGUUGAGCUUUCGAAGCUUGUCCCUCAGUCCCACUUCCCCCCUUCCUGAUGAACACCUCCCAUCCGUUUAUAUACACACCCCCUGGGCUGUGGCUCCCCAAAACAACCCCAAGGCUCUCUGCCUGCCUAGUUUAAACAGAUUCAUGUCAUGGUUUUUCCUACAGAUAAUGACAAAUCUUGCCAAGGAAGUGUGUGGGCUGUUUCUCUAUGAAGUCUUUCCAGUGUUCCCCACCCAAACCCAGACUUCCGUAAUGUGCAUUGGUCACUGACGCUGAUGCCAGUGGAUUGUUCUGUGAGGAAAUCAAGGACAUGCUGUUCUGCAUCAGGGUGGAGGCACGGUGACAACAGUCACAGCACCUGUGGACUCAGGACCUGGGCGAUGAAGAAUCAGCUGACAGAGCCAAGGCACAUAAAUAUUACACAUUUCAGGCUAAAAGGAAAAAUAUGGUUUAAAACCAAAAUGUGAAAAUAUCUGUAUCCCAGUGCCUAUGGAACUUUUCUGCUAUGCACAAUUCUAGACAUACUUUCAAGUGUCUGUUUACUGCAUGACGUGGCUUUAUGAUGUGAAAAGAACAUUUGACUGAGAGUUAGGUUUUUUUGUCACUCUGUUAUGAGAUAUUGGGCAAAGCCCCCAUGUCUCUGGGUUGUUUAUUCAAAUCAUAAUUCCUAGUGUUGUUGUGAUAAUUAAAUUUGGGAAAUGCGGGUAAAAAUGUUUUUAAAAUAUGGUGC
rnacentral:lncRNA from 1 species